UACGGAGGAUGCGAGCGUUAUCCGGAUUUAUUGGGUUUAAAGGGUGCGUAGGCGGGCUUUUAAGUCAGCGGUAAAAAUUCGGGGCUCAACCCCGUCCGGCCGUUGAAACUGGGGGCCUUGAGUGGGCGAGAAGAAGGCGGAAUGCGUGGUGUAGCGGUGAAAUGCAUAGAUAUCACGCAGAACCCCGAUUGCGAAGGCAGCCUUCCGACGCCCUACUGACGCUGAGGCACGAAAGUGCGGGGAUCGAACAGG
rnacentral:rRNA from 1 species